CAGCUUAUCAGUUUCUACUGUCUCAAGCUUCCUACUUCUCGUCGAUUUAUAUGUUGCAAAAUUUUAUAACAGUUUGAUAAAUAAUGAAUGUUUUCACAAUUUCCGAUGUUUCUAGUAGGCUAUAUAGAUACUUUUGCAAUUCGCACGUGGAAGAUAUAGUGAAACAAAUGACGCGAAUUAGCAGUAAGAAAUUAUUGCGUUAAAUUUUAGGUUACCGCGUGUGUAGAUUGGAAAAUCAUGGGGAAUUUAAAAAUAUUCCUCAAGCAAAAAAAUAAGUAAAAUUAUACAAAAUUAUAACCAAACGAACAACCGUAAAGUAUAAAAAAGCUAGAAUGAACAAUCAAUCGCAGAAUUGCAAUUGCUCCAGAAGAAGACAAAGAGAGUUGAAUAACAGAAGGUUAAGAGAGCGAUGCACGCGAUUAAAGGAAACAUUAGUAUGCAACGGUGAUGAGGAAUUUUAUAACAUGCACCAUCUUCGAGAAGAGUUUUCUCAGGUGUCUUCUCAAAGCAGUUCAGUCAUUGAGCUUCCUUGGAAGGAUAUUGCCUUAGGUGCUGCUGACUUGGCGAAAAUCGAAAGCAGCAAAGUAGCUCAAGAGAAAGCGGCAACUGCGGAAGAAGGGGAAGGUGGGCUGGUAAAGAAGGAAUCUUGCGAGUUUGUACAGUUACCAUGGGAGGAUCUGAUGAUAACGUGUACCGUAGACUCCGAGAGAGCUAAAUCAAAUAUGAAAAAAUGCGAUUCCUCGCUGGAAAUUCCUUGGCAUGAUAUUUUGUUCGAUCCCAAUAUCAAAAUCGAUGACAACCAACAUUCCAAAAAGUGCGAUAAGGACGAGGUGGAAAUUCCAUGGGAUGAUUUGCUGUUGUCAAAAAAUAUUGUUUUCUCAUCGAAAAAUAAAUGCCCGACUGCGCGUAAACGCUUGCCAAAAACGAGCAAUAAGAAAUGCGGCUGCUCGAGGUCUAGGAAGUAAUGAGAAAAUUUUAUAGAUUUCCAGUGUAAACACGAUAUUGUAAUUCUAGAACUGUCGGUCAACUAGAACAAAAUUAUAAAGUACACCUAUUUUACGACGAUAUAUGUAUAGCAAAAUUAUUAAUACACCGUGUAUAAAGCAAGUUGUUGUGCCGCAUGCAAUUAUUAAACGUUUCACAUUUCAUAAUUCAUCCGAUUUAUCGCGUCUCGCGAGUACAGUUACACUUCGAAUUAUUGCACUCCGUCGCUUCUGAAUCAUUUGUUAUUAUCCAAUGCCCGCGACCACAUUCAGAGUGUGACUAACAAUAAAGCUCUCAUAUCUCAUUUGCAUUUUAUAACCAAAGAUAUCAUGUAAGUUUUGAUAAGCAACCACAGCGCAACGUCGAUUCAAAAUUCCUGCUCGUAUAUAAACCACAGCCAAUAUAAUAGCAAUAAACUCGAAAAUUAACAGUCGCAAUUAAGAAAAAAAGGAGCAACAAGAAAAAUGAGUGUUUUCGGCUCGGCAAAAACGAAUUUCAGCAACUCGGAGAUGAGCCUCGGGUCAUCCGCGUUGAUGACCGCUGCGUCGACGUACACUCUAUCCGAUUGCGAUUACGAAACGUCGAGCGAGCUGCUCAGUCCGCGCGAAGCAGUAGCCAACGACGACGACGACGACUCUCAAAUUUCACCGACAUCAUCACGUUCAUCCGAUAUCCCCGACUACGACGACCUCGCGAUUCGAACGAGCUCGGUUUUGCUCGACAAAGCCGCGAGAGAGUCCUCUGUGUCCAUCGGAGCGGACGGAUACGUAUUGAGCGCAAAGAGCGACACUUGUCUCUCCCAACAGAGCCGAGCGAUUUCCGACUUUGUCAAUGAAGUUCUCAUCGACGCUCAACAGCAGUCGAAUACUGCCUCGCCUAUUCAGAAUGAAUGUCAUUCAACUCCACGAGCCGAAAACAGUUCGUUGAUCGCAGCGAUUGAAAUAGAGCCUGACCUGCAGCAGCGUCACAGCUCGUCCAAUUCAGCAUGCUAUUGUUCCCGCGAAACUUUGACGCGUCAGGAAUCAUCGGCUCCGGAUGACGAUAAGAUAAAAGCGACGGAAGUCGCGACAAGCUUGAGCGAAGCGAAGAACAAGAUAAUCGAGAAUCUCGCCCAGGUCACCUACGACAAGCUGUUCUCGAGACCAGGAUGGCGUCGCUCCGGUGACACCGAUCGGAGUAGCCAAGGCGAGCCUGUCUCCAAAGCGUCAUCCCAGAAGUCUCGACUCUCGCGGAGAUCGUCGCGCUGCAGCGGCGUCGAGUCGAUCCUGCGAAUCGACUACGAGCUUCAACCUCUGAACCUCAGGCUAUCUAGACUCCUGGCGGAAUUUCGCGCGAUGGACCUGAGAGGAAAAAUCGGAUUCGUCGAUCCCAGCUUCUACGAGUUUUCUUUGCCACGAGACGGAAGCUUCGCGUCGACGGCUGGGGAUAACGAGACGCGGAAAACCGUUGAAACCUGCGAGCAGUUUUUACGGCCCGAAGAGCGAGUAGUAGUAGCUUCGAGGUCGGAAAAAAGUUGCGCGCGAAGCUCGCGCCAAGGCGAUGGACGGGAGCCGUACAGCGUGGAAGGCUGCCAAUUAAGGUUGCAAUCGUCGGAAGAGAGCAGUUUGCACUGCGUCCACCAGCAGCAGCGGCCCAAGAGAAACGCCGAGUGUCGAAAGCAGUCGCGUCAUCAUCGUCAUCAUCAUGAGAAAAGCGACGAAUGUCCAUCAUCGGCGCAAAAAGCGAGAACCUGCUGCUGCUGCUGCAGCGACGAGGACACCGAUUUCGGCUGCUGCUGCUGCUGCUGCAGGCCGCCGGGAAAAAAGGACGAAAUCGAAAGUUCAAUGUCUCGUCGGCAAUUGAUUUCACCGGCGUUUUUAACGCGACCGAUGGAAGCCGGCGAUUCACUUUCGAACGGUAGUGACGCAGGUGUUACCUGUGGAAGGUCGAUUAUGAUGAUCGAGAUGUGCGAUUUGAGAGAAGCUCGCUGUGCGGAGAGGAGGGGACGGGGUGAUCGAUGAUGUUGGGAUAAAUCGGGGAGGAGCUUUCGAAUAUUGAUUUGGGAUCGGUAAAUUGUACGUGAUUUUUUUUUCUUUCCUCAUUUCUAUUUCUGUUAUUCUCUCGUUGGAGUUGGGCUGUACUGUGGACUAUUUCAAAUAUUGUGUACAUACUGAUGUAUAGUUUUCAUUAAAGACAAAUCUAUAUUAAAGGA